GAAGCAAUGCAUGUAUUUCUCGAAGAAGCCAUACAGCGUGUUUUUGGACUAUGGUGGUUAUGGCCAGAAUGAUGUUCUUAUAAAGAAAUCUAAGGCGAGGGUGCAUCCUGAAGCCUGCCUUCACAAUUGUCUGUGACAGAAGUAGCCAAUGCUUUCUCCUUUUCAUUAGGGGGGCUAUCAGUGUUAAGGAGCGGUUGACAGCAGCAACUGGCGCAGAGGUUCCAUUUCAUCACGUUGUGGUCCAGGAAGGUCGUGUCUCCAACCUAGUGUUGGGUUACGCUCACUGUGGAAUGGUUGUAGCAGCUCGAUGGAUUGCAAAACAAGCCAUUCCUUGCCUGAGUAAAGCAAUCGAGCAAUUCCCAGAAUAUGAGGUUAAGAUCAUUGGACAUUAAAUGGGAGCUGGGAUUGCAACAAUACUAACAUACAUCCUUCGCGAGAAUGAGAAGCUGGCAUCAUCCACUUGUAUUGCAUUUGGGCCAGGUACUGCACUGAGGAGUAUAGUUUUA